GAAAGCCGUAUGCGGGAGAUCCGCCCGUACGGUUUGGAGGGAGGGGGAGCGUAAUCCGCUCUCCCUACCCCUAU
rnacentral:ncRNA from 1 species